AAUAGCCGUCGUUCCAAGCAUCCUGGUCACACAGGACCAGGUUAAUUACAGUUGACACUGACACGGUAUAUAGGUGCUGUUCCCUGAGCCUCUGAGCAGGUUGGUCUCAAGUUUGACUGUGUACAGUAGGCUACCCACUGAGAAAGACAUCAUGUCUGUGGUGGUAAAGAUACCAGAGGCGGUGGGGAUGGCCCCACUGGUGAUGGGGGGGGGCUGUGAUGCCAACCUGAUGAAAAAUGUGUGGGAGAUCCGAGCCAGAGACUACAACUCCAAAAUCACAAGUGAGCAGGAGAGACAGGAGCAGAGUGCUCUGGCAACACUGCGUUCCAGUUUUCUUGUGGCUGCUUUUGUGGUCCUGUACCUGUUGUGUUGGUGGACCAGUAAUAAAACACCCAGGAUACCCUGAAACGGGCCGGUGGGCGACAGAAGGAGAGCGCUGACCGCCACCGCAGUGAGGCCCCCGUGUUUGCACCGGGGGACCGGGUCUGGCUCUCGACCCAAAACCUGCCCUUCCACCUGCCCUGCCGGAAGCUGGGCCCGUGGUUUGUGGGGCCAUUUAAAGUUCUGAGGAGAAUAAACGAGGAUUAAUGAAGACUGGUAUACACGUAUGACCCUCAAGGCACCACCCAAAAGGGUAAGAAGGAGAGACAAGCCAGAAGAAACCAUUGGUGUUGGUGGCACAGACUUCAAUAACUUCCUGAACCAGCAUAUGAGUUACUCGAUACCAUCUACUGCAUCUUGCCUAUGCCGUUCUGUACCAUCACUCAUUCAUAUCUUUAUGUACAUAUUCUUUAUCCCUUUACACUUGUGUGUAUAAGGUAGUAGUUUUGGAAUUGUUAGGUUAGAUUACUCGUUGGUUAUUACUGCAUUGUCGGAACUAGAAGCACAAGCAUUUCGCUACACUCGCAUUAACAUCUGCUAACCAUGUGUAUGUGACAAAUAAAUUUGAUUUGAAGUCAUGGAAGUGCUCAAAAACACGUCGUAAGCCAGAAGAGGGUGAGACAACACCAGCCGACCGGGGACAGUCCUGGAAGUUUGAGUCAUCAGCCUCACACCAAGGGUAAGAAACACUGGACAGAGCAUGAUUGCUCCAAUAAUAAUGUCAACAAGGUGUGCCUUUGGAAGAUGGAUAGCAGAUUGGUGGAGUCCCAGCACUUUGAGCACAACCUACCCAUGCCUGAAUGGGAAAUGUCCUGGAAGAAGUGCCACAUCAAAUAUAAACCAGAAGCAAAAGAAGGCACAGACAGGGGUUGUUCUCCAUACCAUGAAGGUGGCAGACGUCACUCAAAAGCCAGAAUGUUCAAGAAGCUUGUUGCAUCCCAACAUCACAACAAGGCAUUGUCCUCAUCUGAAUGUACCGAGGGUUGGAAGACAACAAAGCCUUCAAAAGGUGACAAGGCUCAUGCUGAUAAUGGGCCUACUGAUCAAAAGCCAAAGGUAGAGGAAAAAUCAGGACCCCAGUAUGGCGAAAGUUGGAAGUUCAUGAACCACGGACUCCAGAAAUACCCAGCCAACAAAUCACCUGCAGUUUCAACAAACCCAGAAUGGUCCGGGUCUUGGAGGGCCGCUACGAAUCCCCCAAAGGAAGUGAAGAAACCAAAGUCUUACGAGCAUGUUGUCUUCCACGAGGAUUCAAAAGAGUACCCUCUGCACAAGAUCAUAGUGUGUGUUUCACAUGAGCAGAAGUACAGAGAUUUGUGGAGUUCCUUGUUGUGUGAGGAGAGCAAACCCCAUUCUUCUAAAUGGAGCAAGUCUUGGGAAGUAGCAAAUAAUUAGACCAAGCACAGUGCAGGGGCAGACAUGAAGGUAGAAGAACACAAGAAGGUUGAGGAUCACAAGGCUGAGAAGCCCAAGGAUGUCAAGCCGGGGGUUGAGAAAGGCAAACUGAAAUAUGAUGAGAUGCACAAGGCCAUGCACAGCCACAAGGUAAAGUCAAAGAUGGCCAGGUAUAGCAACUUUGUUGGUCCACUAUUGUUCCACCAUGAUAUUCCCAAAGAGUGGCAUGAGGCCUGGAAACUUCCAAAGCCUUAGUGUCAUGGAGAGUGGUUAAAGCAUGAUAUGCCAGAUCCUCAAGAAGCACAUCUUUGCCAGAUUGGAGUGAGUCUUGGAAAUGUGCAAGAACUUACUCCCGCCAAGGCCAGCCCUCAGUGGCUCAAUGUAAAAAGUCCUGGUUCUCAAGAUAUCAGCCACAUAAAGGAAGAGAAUACAGAUUGAAAGAGACAGGUCAUGAAAACCACUCUGUGCACCACCCCAUACAUGAGGUGUUCCAUCUGCCACAGAGGUGUCAUACUCCAAAGAUGCAUGGUCUCUCACACCCCACGGAAAGGAAAAAGGAAAGGUAGGACGGCUGGAAAUGCCCACACUUCAAGCAGCAGAGCCAAAAGUGACCAGUGCUGAAAUUGUAUCCAGAUGGCUCAAGUCAUGGAGAAUCUGCUACACUCAGCCCCAAGGCUCCUGGGUAGAUACUGGAGCCAGCCAGUUCCAACAUGCGGUCGUCUGGUCAAGAAGGACAGGUAUCAGCAACCACCUAUUUGCCAAUCUUAAAACAGAUACAGCCGCAUUUAGAUUGUGGGGCCAAUCGUUUGUGAUCUUGAAGGGAGAAAGCAAGUUAUCAGAGUCAGGCAAAUCAGAAAGAAAGUUCAAGGAGUCUGGUGGUGAUGGUAUGGUGAUCAUGUCAAUGAAGAUGAAAACAAGGAAGUCUAUUUAUUCAGGGAUAGAUAAGGAUAAGAUGUCUGAGGAGAGAUGGAUUGACUGCCAUAAGAUAGCUACACAACAGCCCCAUCCAAAGCGAAAUUAUUGGUUAAAAAUGCCCCAAAAUGCAAAUACAAAGGAAGAACAAGGAUUUGCCCAACUGUGGGAAGACUCCUGGAAGUUCUCAAUUCAAAAAGGGAUCGAGAAGGAAGAAACAGCUUCUGUGUCUCUUUCAGGCUGGGGAGAGGCUUGGAAAUUGUUGCUUGCUCAGUAUCCCCCACAGAAUGUCUCCAAGUGGAAAUACGACAAACUCUUGUGGGGUCUCAAGAUUUCAACAUAGAGCUCUUUAGAACAUAUUCAGGAGAUGAAGGACUCAUGUUUGUUUUGCAGAUGUUCCUUCAAGGAAUCAUCAUAAUUUCUGUACCCCUCCCCCCCCUUCCACAACAGUUUCUUUAAAUCCAGACCACAAAUUACUUACAGAUGAAGUAUGAGAUGAAGGUAGAUGAAAGAAAUGUAUGUGCAAGUUGAAUAUCUCAGCAGAUUGUUGAAAUGAGUUUGAAAAGAUUGGAAGGAUACGGAUGAGUAGAGAGUAGGCCUAGGCAUGCCUUUUGAUGACUAUUCUAUAGCAUUAGUUGAAAGACAUUUACUUGUAGUUUAGAGAAGUUUUUAAAGCAAUUUCGUAGAAUGUAAAAUCAUGUCUUGUACUAUAUAUGCUACAGUGCAAUAUCAUAUAUAUUUUAAUUUAAGCUAUGAAAAGUCAUAAAAAUGUAUUUUCCUUGUCUUUAAUUUUUUGUUUUGGAUUGAAAGUCAUUAUUUUGCUGAAAAACACAAGGCUAAAAAGUACACUGCUCAAAAAAAUAAAGGGAACACUAAAAUAACACAUCCUAGAGCUGAAUGAAUGAAAUAUUCUCAUUAAAUACUUUUUUCUUUACAUAGUUGAAUGUGCUGACAACAAAAUUACACAAAAAUUAUCAAUGGAAAUCAAAUU
ensembl:lncRNA